CCUACGGGAGGCAGCAGUCGGGAAUAUUGCGCAAUGGAGGAAACUCUGACGCAGUGACGCCGCGUAUAGGAAGAAGGUUUUCGGAUUGUAAACUAUUGUCGUUAGGGAAGAUACAAGACAGUACCUAAGGAGGAAGCUCCGGCUAACUACGUGCCAGCAGCCGCGGUAAUACGUAGGGAGCAAGCGUUAUCCGGAUUUAUUGGGUGUAAAGGGUGCGUAGACGGGACAACAAGUUAGUUGUGAAAUCCCUCGGCUUAACUGAGGAACUGCAACUAAAACUAUUGUUCUUGAGUGUUGGAGAGGAAAGUGGAAUUCCUAGUGUAGCGGUGAAAUGCGUAGAUAUUAGGAGGAACACCGGUGGCGAAGGCGACUUUCUGGACAAUAACUGACGUUGAGGCACGAAAGUGUGGGGAGCAAACAGGAU
rnacentral:rRNA from 1 species